CACCGAUUGCCCCAACGAGAAUGUAGUUCAAGAAUCAAAAGUUGUUCUUCAAGAGUGAUAUUUCCACGUCGUACAUCGGGCCGGAGAUAAUUCAACCAUCUUAGUCUACAACUUUUCCCUGUUCGUUUUAGACCAGCACAACGAGCAAGAGUAUUCCAACGACCUUCACCAUGAUGAGCAAUAUAAUUCAUGAGGGUCAAGUCUUCCUCAACGGUCCAUGGACCUCGUCGG
rnacentral:misc_RNA from 1 species